GCCCAGGUGAUGGAAUGGUAGACAUGACGGUCUUAGAAGCCGUUGCCGUAAGGUGUAAGGGUUCAAGUCCCUUCUUGGGCACCA
rnacentral:tRNA from 1 species